rnacentral:sRNA from 1 species
UAUUGGGUAUAAUUUAAUUCGGUGUUAAAAUAUUUAUCCAAUAUAAUAUAUAUUUUAUCCCAUCGCAUACCUAAUUAUAAAAAAUUGGUCCAAUAAUCGCGCGCGCGAUUUGAUAAAAUUUCGGGGAAAAUUGCAUAAUAUUGGUUUACCGAAAUUUUUCGUUUAUCGCACGUUUGGACGAAAAUUUUAAUUUUAUCCAAAAAUAUAUUAUACGGUUUUCCCGUAUAAUUAUUCGCCUAUUUUUAUAUUUUAAUAAAACGGUUUGCAAUUAUAAAAUUUAAUAAUUUGUUUGGUAUUAAUCGCACGGGUGGUAAUUCGUAUUUUGGUGUUUUUGGCCCUGGGUUAAUCGCGCGGUACGUAUCCCUUCCCGGGGCAAAUUGCGGGUAAAUUUGCACCUCCCGUGUUAAUUUAUUUCCGGGCAUAAUUGUUAUAUUUUUCCCCGGUUUGUACGUAUAAAUAAUCCCCUAUUUCGGGGUUGGGUAAUUAAUAUUUUGCGCGCGUUAUAAUUUUGCGGAUGGGUUUUGGUAUCCGUUAUAUUCCACAAAUUAAAACACAAUUUAUAAUAAUACGGUUAUUACGCGCUGGCCUUUUUUUGUUUAUUUUUCCUUUUUUUGGAAGAAACGUACGAAUUUGUCGUUAAUUUUUUUCCUUUAAAUAAAUCCGUAUAUUUUUUUUAACAGGUUAAUAUAUAUUUUGCGGAUUUCGCGCGAUAUUUGGUCGAAUUGGUAAUUUGUCCAACCCUCCAGUUUUUUUUGGAAACGUUCGCGCAACCGUUAUUUUGGGGUUAUUUUUUCCGCUAUUUGUAUUUUGCGUACGCUAAUUAUAAUUUCGUAAUACAAUUAUAUAAAAUAAAUGGAUACUAUUUUUGGUUCCAAAAAUUGCGUAAAGUCGGGUGGUGGUUAAUCCCAUACGUGCGGAUCGAUAUAUUUUAACCAUUGGGUAUUGUUUAUCCCGUUCGUUUCGAUUAUUUUCGUCCAUAUUGGCGUGCGUAAUAAUUUCGCGAUAGGUAAUUAUUGCUCCUCGAAUUCGUAUUAAUUUUUAUUGCGCGUUGGUGGUAUAUUAUUUAUUAAUACCAUUUUUGCAAUGGUUAAUUAUUUAAAUGGAAAUUAUAUAAUUUUCGCAUAAUAACGUGCAAUUUAAUUUUUUAAUAUAAAAACGUUAAAUUCGUCCGGUUUUUAAAUUUUUGGUCUUUCCAAUGGGAAAAUAUCCAAUUUAAAUUUCGGGCAAUAAUAUAAACCGGAUUCCAACGUUUAAAUAACCAAUGGGUUGGGCUUUUGUGCGCGCGGUUUAUUUUUUUACGUAACCAAUUUGUAAACGUUAUACAAUUGGUAAUCGUAUUUUUAUUUAUCAAUUAAUAUUUGUAAAUUCGUGGAUUUACGUAAUAUAUCCGUGGUAGAUUUAUUUGUAAAAUGAAAACGUUAUAUUUUUGUUAUUUGGAUAUAUUUGGUUUGUUUUUUAUUUAAAUUGUGCGAUUACAAUUUAACGUUUACCGCCGGGUGAAAAGUUUUCGUGCGGUCCGUAUUCCCUGUUUAAUUACCCGGUCGCCGGAGCCGCAACCCCGGCCUGUAUUAACUCCCUUCCUUGCGCGCGCGCGAGUGAGGCUAUUCCAACAAAUAUAAUUUACAAUUCCGAAUAUAUUCGAAAACCCCAACGAAAACGAAUUUUUGGACCGUAUAUUUAAAAAAUUUAAAAUCCGUUCCAACGACCAAUAAAAUAUCGAUUUGGUAACGUUAAAAAACGUUAUAACAAAUUUUUCGGAAUAUUUAAAUAAAAUAAUAAUUGUUUAAAAAAACGUAUAAAUUAUUAAAAUAAUUUGUAAGUUUGGAAAAUUUAUAAUAUGGAAAAAAGGGGAUUUUUUGUUGGAAUAUUAUAU